rnacentral:rRNA from 1 species
CAGUCGAACGAUGAAGCUGGAGCUUGCUCUGGUGGAUUAGUGGCGAACGGGUGAGUAACACGUGAGCAACCUGCCCCUGACUCUGGGAUAACAGCCGGAAACGGCUGCUAAUACCGGAUAUGCACCAUGAACGCAUGUUCUGUGGUGGGAAAGAUUUUUCGGUUGGGGAUGGGCUCGCGGCCUAUCAGCUUGUUGGUGAGGUAAUGGCUCACCAAGGCGUCGACGGGUAGCCGGCCUGAGAGGGUGACCGGCCACACUGGGACUGAGACACGGCCCAGACUCCUACGGGAGGCAGCAGUGGGGAAUAUUGCACAAUGGGCGAAAGCCUGAUGCAGCAACGCCGCGUGAGGGAUGACGGCCUUCGGGUUGUAAACCUCUUUUAGCAGGGAAGAAGCGAGAGUGACGGUACCUGCAGAAAAAGCGCCGGCUAACUACGUGCCAGCAGCCGCGGUAAUACGUAGGGCGCAAGCGUUAUCCGGAAUUAUUGGGCGUAAAGAGCUCGUAGGCGGUUUGUCGCGUCUGCUGUGAAAACUGGAGGCUCAACCUCCAGCCUGCAGUGGGUACGGGCAGACUAGAGUGCGGUAGGGGAGAUUGGAAUUCCUGGUGUAGCGGUGGAAUGCGCAGAUAUCAGGAGGAACACCGAUGGCGAAGGCAGAUCUCUGGGCCGUAACUGACGCUGAGGAG